UACGUUCAGAUAAGUAGUUCC
rnacentral:piRNA from 1 species